AUUAGACUAUAAAUCUUGGUAUGUAAUCGUUCACUGCUGAAAAAAUUAUGUAGAAUUGUACUUAAAAGAGAUUAGAGAAGUAAAAAAGUGUACAUUGUAUAGAGGUGAGAUAUGUUUAAUUCCUAGCACAAAAUGUAAUAUGUGUUCCCACAUCCCACGAUUACACGUGUAAUUGCCAAAACCAUUCAAUUAAAAAUAACAUUUGCAAGCAUAUUCACGCCGUUGCAAUGAACCUCCUUAGCCAAAAUACCGACAACAAAACCAAAAAGCACACAUAGACGACAGACGUAGUAUACAGACAAAUAUAACAUGUAAAGAUGAUGAACCGAUGGAGACAACACUUAAAGACGAGGAAAAUCAAUAACACCAUGAUGAUGGUAAUAAGAACUAAUAAAAAAAAGAUAUUUUAUUACAUAGCUUAAGGCACAAAAUAUUACAAGAAAUUGAGCAAUCGUUACAGCAGAUAAAAACACGAGAACAACUUACUACAACAGUUAAAUAAAAAGUGGUUGCACACAUCCAUGUUUCUCCAUAGCUGCUUCAAAAUUGAAACUGUGCUUAAUGAAACAAAAAAAUAAGUUGCUAAGGGGUAAAAUGAAAACACAAAAGAGAAUCUUUUACGUGCCAAAAAACAAGGAAAAUAAAGAAAUCUAAAUUUUCUUAAUUUCAGAAUUUUUUAAUAAUAGCAUUAAUUAUAUAUUAAUAAUAUAAAUUUGAAUUAUUAAUUAUUAUGUACUUUAUGUUCCGGGUAUGUACAGUAAAAAACAGUGAUAAACAAUAUUUUAUUAUAACUAAUUAUAUUAUUUUUUUUAACGUAGUUAAUAUUGCUUAUUCAAUAUAUAAUUGAUUAAGUUUAAUGAUUAUUAUUAUUUUUGUAAGACGUGUGUUA